UUUUUUUACUAAACUGAAAGCUAAGGGAGGAAGAUAACUUAAACGCUAGUAAAGACAAGAGUGACUUUCAUGGAGAAUUUAUGCCUCUGGAAAGGUGACACCUAGAACGGCCAGCAGUAUGGAAUCUCUCUGAUUGUCUAGAAGAUAAGGGCUGUCCCUUCCCUCCUCUUUACCAUCUGUAGCAAAAGAACACUGAGUACUGCAAGCAAGAUUUCAAGGACAGAUGAUUUAAAAAUACACUAAAAGUAACUCAGUUACUAAGUGUCCAUUCUUCUGAGAACAGUGGGGAAAACUGCUCCUGGGAAAGACUGCUAAGUGGGAGGGUCAGGCACAGUGGUGGCCCUUGGGGAGGCCCCAGUCACUGAUGGAAAGCAGAACCACGAGUCAUUAUGAGCCACCAUCGUCAGGACACACACGUGUGACAGAUUGCAGAAACUCCCCAGAGGGCCAGUGGAGCCAGUCGGAAGGAUUCAGAAAGGUUCCCUAGUAUAGAUACAAGGGAAACUAAAGGGCAGGAUGAAAUUAGCAAGUGACAGAGCAGAGGCAGAGCCAUUCCAGAAUCUGAGGCAAACCAGAAAGAUCGUAUCGGUAUCAGCGAAGCAGAAGCCGUGAACAAGUCCAGGAGUUUGCAGCGACCCAAGCUCCAGGAAAAUCAAUUCUCAGGCUCGCCGAAGGUAUCCUGUUUUACUGCUUUUAACUGAGGAAACCAGCACCGUUCCCUUUCUUUGAGCUAUUUUAGACAACACGGAAGUUACCUGAGCCAAGAGCGCUGCCAUUUCUAACGCCAGAUCCUUGUUGAGAGGGAAAAGACCAUUUAUGAUUUGCUCAUUUGUCUGAUACAGCAGCAGCAGCUUCUCUCUGUCAGUCUCUCCACGAGCUUGCAUUGAAAAAUAUAGUCUGGAAAAAAAGGAAAAA